GAUGAAGAACGUAGCGAAAUGCGAUAAGUAAUGUGAAUUGCAGAAUUCAGUGAAUCAUCGAAUCUUUGAACGCACAUUGCGCCCGCUAGUAUUCUGGCGGGCAUGCCUGUCCGAGCGUCAUUUCAACCCUCAAGCUCUGCUUGGUGUUGGGUGUUUGUUCCGCCUCUGUGUGUGAACUCGCCUCAAAACAAUUGGCAGCCGGCGUACUUGUUUCGGAGCGCAGCACAUUUUGCGAUCCAGAUCAACGUACAGCGGCAUCCAAGAAGCCUUAUUUAACGCUCUUGACCUCGGAUCAGGUAGGGAUACCCGCUGAACUUAAGCAUAUCAAUAAGCGGAGGA
rnacentral:misc_RNA from 1 species